AUAUCUCACUAUAUUGUUCGCCAGAGAACUACAAGCGCUAGCUUAAAACCCAAAGGACUUGGCGGUAUCUCACACCCACCUAGAGGAGCCUGUUCUAUAACCGAUAAUCCCCGUUAAACCUCACCACCUCUUGCCAUUACCGUCUAUAUACCGCCGUCGUCAGCUCACCCUAUGAAGGAUAAAAAGUAAGCAAAAUGAAUAAAACUCCAAAACGUCAGGUCGAGGUGUAGCAAAUGAAGUGGAAAGAAAUGGGCUACAUUUUUUUACAAAAACAUAUACGAAUGGUAGACUGAAAAACACCUAAAGGUGGAUUUAGCAGUAAGAAGAGAUCAGAACACUCUUCUGAAAUCGGCCCUGAGAUAAGC
rnacentral:rRNA from 1 species